CUGGUUGAUCCUCCCCGUAGUCAUAUGCUUGUCUCAAAGAUUAAGCCAUACAUGUCUCCCAAUAAGUCUUUACACGUCGAAAAUGCGAAUGGCUCAUUAAAACAGUUAUAAUUUUUUUGAUGGUCUCUCGUUAUUUGGAUAACAGUGGUAAUUCUAGAGGUAAUACAUGCAUAAAAACGCGACUUCUCGGAAGGGUUGUAUUUAUUAGAUACAGAACCAAUACGCGCCGCCGUUUUUGGAUGAUUCAUAAUAAAUGUACGGAGGGCAUGGCUUGUGGCGGCGCUGGUUCAUUCAAGUUUCUGACCUAUCAGCUUUCGACGGUAGGGUAUUGGCCUCCCGUGGCAUUGACGGGGGAAGGGAGAAUUAGGGUUGGAUUCCGGAGAGGGGCCCGAGAAACGGCUACCACCUCUAAGGAAGGCAGCAGGCGCCAAA
rnacentral:rRNA from 1 species